GACUACCUGGGAUGUUCGCCAGCAAGCCGAUGUCCCUGAGCCGAUGCUAGUAAUCUAGGGGUUCACUGCGUGACCAUUGUGCAAGCUCGACCAGUAUCGAGAAGCCUUAAGUCACGCUUAUUGCGCCCCGCCUUGAACCAGUGGGUUCAAGGGCCAAGGCACCGCAGCGGCAUUCUGGGUAGUCA
rnacentral:other from 1 species